AACCCAUGUUGGCGACAUCUUCUAAGUAGCUCUUUGAAUCUUUCCCAUGCUUCAUAUAAGGGCUCAUUCUCUUUCUGAGAAAAACAAGAGAUCUCUGCCUUCAACUC